GUCAGUGUGGUGUAGUGGCUUGAAUGUUGGACUGUGAAUCUGGAGACCAGGAUUCGAUUCCCUGCUUGGCCA